rnacentral:rRNA from 1 species
UACGUAGGGUGCGAGCGUUGUCCGGAAUUACUGGGCGUAAAGAGCUCGUAGGUGGUUUGUCGCGUUGUCCGUGAAAACUCACAGCUUAACUGUGGGCGUGCGGGCGAUACGGGCAGACUGGAGUACUGCAGGGGAGACUGGAAUUCCUGGUGUAGCGGUGGAAUGCGCAGAUAUCGGGAAGAACACCCGUGGCGAAGGCGGUUCUCUGGGACGGUACUGACGCUGAGACGCGAAAGCGUGGGGAGCGAACAGG